UCUCACCUUCCCCAUCCUCGCUAGGUGUCUCUUGUUUCCCUUCUCCAGCCCCUCUGUCUGUCUCUAUCUCUCUCUCUAGCCCCUAGAGUACUCUUCCCAAGCCCUUUCGUGUAUCUCUUUCUCCACUUCCCCAGUCCCUCUCUGUGUUUCUUUUCUCCAGUCUUUUUGUCUCUGUUACAGAGGCCCUCUGUGUUUCUCUUUUCCCCCUUCCCAGUCCCUUUGUGUCUCUCUUUUUUCUGCCCCAAAACCCUCUGUGUCUCUUGCAACACUUUCC